AUCCCAUGGUGAGGGCAUUCUGAUAUAUAAUCUUGAAAGCAUUCCUAUGCCUUAGGGACAGAUUUAUCAUACUGUUGCAGGAAAGUUGAGAUCUUUGCAUGUAGGGU
rnacentral:snoRNA from 1 species